rnacentral:rRNA from 1 species
UGAACGCUAGCGGCAGGCCUAAUACAUGCAAGUCGAGCGGCAAGUUGAGUAGUAAUACUUGACCUAGAGCGGCGCACGGGUGCGUAACGCGUAUGCAACCUACCUUUUACUGGGGGAUAGCCCGGAGAAAUCUGGAUUAAUACCCCAUGGUAUCUACGGAUCGAAUGGUUUGUAGCUUAAAGAUUUAUCGGUAAAAGAUGGGCAUGCUUCUGAUUAGCUAGUUGGCGGGGUAACGGCCCACCAAGGCGACGAUCAGUAGGGGUUCUGAGAGGAAGGUCCCCCCGCACUGGCACUGAGAUACGGGCCAGACUCCUACGGGAGGCAGCAGUAGGGAAUAUUGGGCAAUGGUCGCAAGACUGACCCAGCCAUGCCGCGUGCAGGAAGACGGCCCUCUGGGUUGUAAACUGCUUUUAUCUGGGAAGAAAACGUCCAUGCGUGGAAAAUUGCCGGUACCAGAUGAAUAAGCACCGGCUAACUCCGUGCCAGCAG